CCCUUAGAUGUUCUGGGCCGCACGCGUGCUACACUGACGCAUUCAACGAGUCUAAAACCUGGUCUGAUAGGGCUGGGUAAUCUUUUGAAAGUGCAUCGUGAUUGGGAUAGAUUAUUGCAAUUGUUAAUCUUGAACGAGGAAUUCCUAGUAAACGCGAGUCAUCAGCUCGCAUUGAUUACGUCCCUGCCCUUUGUACACACCGCCCGUCGCACCUACCGAUUGAAUGGUUCGGUGAAGAUCUCGGACUUCGAUAUUUAUUCUUUAUUGAGUUUAUAUUGUGAGAAGUUAUCUAAACCUCAUCAUUUAGAGGAAGGUGAAGUCGUAACA
rnacentral:rRNA from 1 species